rnacentral:rRNA from 1 species
UAGGGAAUCUUCGGCAAUGGACGAAAGUCUGACCGAGCAACGCCGCGUGAGUGAAGAAGGUUUUCGGAUCGUAUAACUCUGUUGUUUGAGAAGAACAAGGACGUUAGUAACUGAACGUCCCCUGACGGUAUCUAACCAGAAAGCCACGGCUAACUACGUGCCAGCAGCCGCGGUAAUACGUAGGUGGCAAGCGUUGUCCGGAUUUAUUGGGCAUAAAGCGAGCGCAGGCGGUUUCUUAAGUCUGAUGUGAAAGCCCCCGGCUCAACCGGGGAGGGUCAUUGGAAACUGGGAGAGAGGAGUGCAGAAGAGGAGAGUGGAAGUCCAUGUGUAGGGGUGAAAAGCGUAGAUAUAUGGAGGAAAAACAGUGGCGAAGGCGGAUCUCAGGUAUGUAAAAGACGCUGAGGCUCGAAAGAGUGGGGAGCAAACAGG